GGGGGGAACCUAUUCUUAUAUACUUAAGACCUUAUCAACUUAACAACUCACCCACAAUUCAUCAUUUUAACACUGGUCAUCAUAUACACAUAUACCUCACAAUUACCACUUAAAUAUUUCAUAAAUUAUCAACCUAGGUUGUUUCACACAUCCUAUCAAGACUGCUAAUUAAUUCCAACAAAACAUGUAUCAAUAACCUUAAGCUACUACUCUUACCACCAUAUUCUACAUCUAAAGUUCAAGCCUAUAGUCUAGCAACAAUCACAUACCACUAGUGAAGCCUGCAACAUAUUAUAUUAGUCCAUUAAAUUGCGAAAUCAACUCAAAAUACUAAUCUCAUUUAACUACUACCUACAAUCGCAAUCCCUC
rnacentral:lncRNA from 1 species